GAUGAACGCUGGCGGCGUGCCUAAUACAUGCAAGUCGAGCGAACGGACGAGAAGCUUGCUUCUCUGAUGUUAGCGGCGGACGGGUGAGUAACACGUGGAUAACCUACCUAUAAGACUGGGAUAACUCCGGGAAACCGGAGCUAAUACCGGAUAAUAUUUUGAACCGCUUGGUUCAAAAGUGAAAGACGGUCUUGCUGUCACUUAUAGAUGGAUCCGCGCUGCAUUAGCUAGUUGGUAAGGUAGCGGCUUACCAAGGCAACGAUGCAUAGCCGACCUGAGAGGGUGAUCGGCCACACUGGAACUGAGACACGGUCCAGACUCCUACGGGAGGCAGCAGUAGGGAAUCUUCCGCAAUGGGCGAAAGCCUGACGGAGCAACGCCGCGUGAGUGAUGAAGGUCUUCGGAUCGUAAAACUCUGUUAUUAGUGAAGAACAUAUGUGUAAGUAACUGUGCACAUCUUGACGGUACCUAAUCAGAAAGCCACGGCUAACUACGUG
rnacentral:rRNA from 1 species